UAUUGAGGAAGGGUGGUUUCCAGUCGGUAUGGCAGUGUUCCAUGAGAAGGGGAGCACCACGAGGGCAUCAUUCCCAACAGAAAAGAAGGUCCUUGUAUGUAGACAAAAAUGCAGUAGGUAAUGAGCUGAAGAGCAAAUCUCAGAUUUACAUUGGGCUUAAUUAUUUUAUGAAUCUUGUAUAACCCAUACGGAGACUGCCUCCUGUAACAGAAGGGGGAAAACCCCACGGCCCGUCGGCGCUGUGUGGGCCCGUGUCCCCAGGGUUUGGUGGCCGCUGGCCGGCAGGGCUCCAGCGGGGAGGAGCGCCCAGCCCAGCGCGACCUCCUCUGUCCCGGGGAGCGAGCCCGCAGUGACAGCACUGCCGAGAAACAGAGCUGCUCACAGCAGGGAUCGGCCUCGGCUCAUCCCCGUGGCAAGGCUGGAACAAAGCUCUGACAAGAUGUGUGGUGCGAAAAGUAAAUCAUUAGCAUUUACUGGACUGCUUCUCAACUGCCUAGAAAUGAUCUUUGCAGCUAACACAGGUUUCUCUGUGUCUAUAUAUGAUGUGACAUCGCAAAGCAUUUCUCUCAGAUGGCCCAAGUUUUCAGGAGCCUCUUCUUACAGCGUCACAGCUACAGCUGUGAAUACUGUAGGCCAUUCAUUACUGGCUCAUUUCAGCGAUGUUACACUUAAAGCAACUCUAACUUCAUUAAUUCCCAAUACUGUUUAUGCUAUACAAGCAGAAGCCAUUGACAAGAAUGGAAUUAUUCUUGCAGAAACACAGAUUAUGCAGUCAACAGCUCCAGACAUACCUGUUAUUGACCAAGCUUAUUCAAAACUUAGCAACAGUAUCACAGUGGAAUGGAGAGCGGUACCUGGGGCUACUAGUUACAUGCUGACUGCACAAGAUGGAGAUUCCUUCAUUGAAACUGUAGUUAAAAAUUCUCCAGGCACAGUGACGGGGCUGAAACCUGCCACCUUGUACAGAAUCACUAUCAGAUCUAUAAAUUCAGGAGGAAAAAGCCAGCCUUCACCUUUCAGAAAAGCAAAAACAGUCCUGGCUGCUCCGAUUCUGUCUGUUAGUUCUCCGAGCUGUGACUCCAUUGCACUGAGCUGGAAAGCUGUGUAUAUGGCAGCUGGAUUCUCUGUGUCACUCAUGAGGUCAGAUGGUUUGGGCAGAAUGCUGAGGGAGAACACCACCAAUACCUCCUUGAUAUUUACAAAUCUAGAUCCAGGAACUCUCUAUACUAUCAAGGCUUAUGCCUGGAAUGCCAAUGGGAUGCCUGGAGAUGAUUUCACAUAUAACCAAAGAACAAGUCCUGAUGCACCGGCGGAUGUUAAAGUAGCUUUUAAUAGUGGUGCUUUAAGAGUUUCUUGGAUGCCAACAGAAGGAGCUCUAACUUACAGUGUCACAGCCUCCAAUGGACUCUUGAAACUGAAGUGUAACACGUCCUCCUCCUCCUGCAUGGUGCCGUCCCUCCAGUGCAGCUCUGAAUAUUAUGUUUCUGUCACAGCAUACAAUGAUGCUGGAUCCAGUAAACCUACUGAUGCAGUAAGCUUAAAAACUAUUCCUUGUGCACCAGUAAACAUAUCAAUUGAAGAGGAUGAACCUGGUCACUUGCUGGUGUCAUGGUCUAGCGUCAGUUUUGGUCAUUAUUAUGUGGUUUUUGUGAAGAGUGAUGAUGGCUUGGAAGUGCACUGCAACACAUCAUAUACUCAAUGUCAUUUCCAGUCAGACUGUGGCUUCACUUAUUUCAUUAGUGUCUUUGCAUAUAACAAGGCAGGGCAGAGUCCUUUAGGUGAUGUAUUCAAUUACACUACUGCUCCUUGUUGCCCCAGCGACUUCAGGGCCGUGUUCGUGUCCAGCGACACCGUGCGGGUCACCUGGGCUCCUGUGCGAGGCGCCGACCUGUACGAGACCAGAGCUGCCGCCUGGAGCACGGUGGUGCUCUGCAAUGACACGGCCCCGGCCUGCACCCUGUCAGCUCUGCACUGCAACACCCGCUACAACAUCACCGUUCAUUCCUUCAGCGAGGCCAGGGGCAGCAACACCUCAUGUGUGCCCAAGCACGUGGCAACAGCUCCCUGCAGUCCCGAAAUUAAAAAUGUCUCAAAGGAGGGUCUUUCUGUAAUCAGUGUACAGUGGCAAUCUAACAAUGAAGACGCUACAUAUGUUGUCACUGCUAGAGGAGAGGCUGGACUUUGGCAUUGCACAAGCACUGGAAGCUCCUGUACCUUAACUGAUCUUCCCUGUGGAUCUGCUUUCUCUGUUAGUGCUAUAGCAAGAUCACCAGCAGGACAGAGCUUACCAAGCUACAGUGUCCCUUUAGAGACAGCUCCUUGUUGCCCUAACGACCUGAUACUAACUCAAGUGACACAGUCUGUAACAAAUAUCAGCUGGUCUGCUGGGAAGGGUGCCCAGACAUAUGUAACAACACUGGAGUCUCCAAAAGGACAGGCAAAGUGUCGCACUCUUCAGAACUACUGUCUCCUGGGAUGCAUCACAUGUGGCACCAACUACACAGUGUCUCUGAAAGCAAUUAGUGAAACGGGUCUGACGUCCAGUUGCACAUAUCAGGGAUAUUCUUCCAGUGCUUGCUGCCCUUCUGGGGUGAAGCUAUACAGACUGAGCAACAGUGGCAUCAGGGUGUUCUGGCGAGCCUCUGAUGAAACAAUAAACUACAGCACUGAUUUACAUGGCUCAAAAGGCAACUUCACCUGUAUCCCCAGCGCAGGUCGAAGUCACUGCGACAUCACCGAGAUACCCUGUGGGGAUGUCUACACAGUGGUGGUAGCUCCACUUACUGAUAAGGGUCCGAAGCUCACAUUCUGUCCUAAAAGAAUAUAUUCAGUAACCUGUUCUGGAAGCUCUGUUGGAAUGGGUAAGAGCACAAAGUACAUUCAUUACAAAUUCAUGAUGUUUGUAAAAUAUGUUCGCAUCGUUUAACUUCAAAUAAGAUGCAUAUAACAUAAAUUUGAUCAUCAAGGCUUCUGUUAGUGUUAUGCAGGUUUGUCUCACCCCCCAUCUUAUAAUGUAUAAUUAAAAAAAACAAUCUUAUCUACAUUGUGGCCUGUAUACCAUCAUGCAUAGUCACAGCACUUACUGUUUAUCAGAUAGCACAAAAUAAAAGGCAGGCUUAUCUUUUAUAGCCUCACCAUAUCCCAUUACAAAUUAAAAGAGGUUGCAGUUCUGAUUUUUAUUUUUAAAAAGCUUAAAAAAAUGUGGCUUACCUCAACUUAUUCUACCUUAUUUCUUCUGGGGUUUCAACAGGAUAAUCUUGUGCUUUAUUUGCCUACAUAAACUGCUAGAAACAACUUCAAAAGCAGCCACUGAAAGACAGUUGCUUUUCCAUAACUGAAAUUGAAUUUCCAAAUUCUUUUAUAGUGAUUUAUAGAGGGAAGAGCAAUGCAGAACACAUCUAAAUGAAAAUUCUGGUUCAGAUAAGGAGUUCUCUGUCAAAACUAGAUGAUCCAUGGCCUUCCCGAUGGUGACUUCUGCUUCUGGAUCUUCUGGGAGACCUCCUGGGACUGAUCGAUCUUGGUCUUGGAGACCUUUUAAAAAAGAAGAUAUUCAGUGUGAAACACAUCCUUUUCAAGUUAAGAGACCAUCUUUCCUUUUCAAUUUAUACUUUAUGUACACAGUCUGUUUUUCAUCUUAAAUACCAAAUAUCAUGUGAUGAUUUUAACCUAUUAGCAUCCAUAAACUGUUUUGCCUGUUGCCUUAAAACCUAACCCAGUGAAAAGACAAGAUGUUGCUGGUAAGAAGUUGUUCAAUAUUAAACUUUUAACAUUCAUUUUAAAAA